CGCCAAAUAAUUACUAAAAUAAUGAAUCAAGAUUUGCAUAAAGGUAUCAGCAAAUCAUCAUAUUAGAAUCAUUUCUGUAGAGUAAUGGGUGCUGAACAUUCAGCUUUGCCAUCACAGGAAUAAAAAAUUACAUUUUAAGAUGUAUUAUAAUGGGAAACCGUUUUCUUAAAUUGUAAUAAUAUUUCACAAUAGGAUUGUUUUAGUGUAAUUUGAAUCACAUAAAUGCAGCCUUGGAGUGCACAAGAGAUGUAUGGUUGUCCAGAUGAUCCAUGUUUUUCUUUCACUGCCUGUUGUCUUGAUGCUUCUGCUGUAAUGAGGUUGCCUGUGGCUUCUUGCACAUCCCAUGAGCCAUGCUUUUGGAAAUGUGGCAUAAAAAGUUGUCAAAAUGUGGGAUUUUUAUUUAGGUAAUCAAGCCUGUUUUUAUAAUAGGGUAAUUUAUGUGCAUUCAUGCUGUUUUCUGCUCUCUUUGUUUUCUGUUUUAGAUAACAGCUUCUGGCUGUAACCAGUAAGCCAGUGUAAUUACUUCUCUGUAAAUUAAGAAAUCAUUUUUCUUUAUGUACUUUUACUUUGCAAUGAUAAGAGCCAAGUAUGUGUGUGGAUACGAUGACGUGUGUUGUUGUGUGUGUGUGUGUGUGUGUGUGUGUGUGUGUGUGGGUGUGUGACAUCCAGCCUCUCACCUGAUUAUUUUGACCUCUUUCUGCUUCCUUGAACAUUGUGAUUACAGACUGUUCAAUUGCUCCAUUAACUCAUAGUCUAAAGAUAUUAUACUAUUGAUAAUAAGUUUGACCUUCACGACACUGUAUUUGUGUUUGCAUUUCACUGGUAAUUGAAAACAAAGAUUUGAUUUAUUCUUUUUCUUCUUGAUGCAGCAUAACAACUUAUACUGUUUUAUCAUCAUCUCAUUGUGUCUCAGAUGAUCUGAAGUUUAGUUUCAUCUUAUUUGAAGCACCAGAAACUGAUAAUCGUGUUGAAUUUAUGAAGGUGCUGCAUUUCUGGCCAUCACCACAAUCUAUGCUGAGAGUGGCUCGGGAUUUGUUGUGCCAAGUGCUACGGCUAAAGCUGGAGUGGAGAAGCUUUGCACUGAACCACCACUGGUACAAACUAAAGGGGAAGUUGUUUUACUACUUCUUGUCGCUUCUGCUUUCUGAACGUGGAAGUGUAAUAAAAGUUAUUUUUUCCGAAAUCUUACAAAUAUUAAAAUAAUUUUCUUUUAAAUCAAUAAAAUUAUUAUUUUUUUUUUUGCUUCUUUGAAUUUUCAGUGACCCUACAGCACUUGUAUACACGAUUUGGACCUUACGAAAAACUCUUUUGCUGAAGUGGAAAGUGGCAACAUGAUUGCACUCUGAUUUGAAGUGUGCUGUAUACAUGGUACAUAAGAUCACCAGAGCCUUAGCAGCCCUUUAAUUUGCAUUUUCCUUGGCUUUGACUGUGAGUCACCAUGUUUCUUAUUGCUUUCCCUGUGUGAUAAACCUAAUGGUAGAAAAGUCUGUCUCAGGAAGAUAAUGGCACUAGAAACUGCGGUCGCCAUGUCUGAUAGAUGGGAUGAGCAGAUGUCCCCAAAAAGUGGGACAAAUUUUAAAUAAAUCAGUGCAUGUGUAAAAAGUCUG
rnacentral:lncRNA from 1 species